UACGUAGGGUGCGAGCGUUAAUCGGAAUUACUGGGCGUAAAGCGUGCGCAGGCGGUGAUGUAAGACCGAUGUGAAAUCCCCGGGCUUAACCUGGGAACUGCAUUGGUGACUGCAUUGCUGGAGUAUGGCAGAGGGGGGUGGAAUUCCACGUGUAGCAGUGAAAUGCGUAGAGAUGUGGAGGAACACCGAUGGCGAAGGCGGUCUGCUGGGCCAAGACUGACGCUGAGGCGCGACAGCGUGGGAGCAAACAGGA
rnacentral:rRNA from 1 species